GCCCCACGUGGACGCUACCUCCUCGCGGUGUGGGGUGGGCAACUCACCUACAAAGGGUGAGGCUAAGUACGUCC
rnacentral:ribozyme from 1 species